CCGAGGACCAAGCAGGCAGCUUCUUCUACACUCAUGCCAACUCUCUUCCCACUUUUCUUAUUGUUUCAGAUUCCAUGUCAGUAGUGGCAAACCUUUACAGGAUUAUGAAUACAAAAUGCCACUGGUCUCCUGAAGAUACAGCAGCAAAAUGAAACAUCCACAAAUAUGACUUAAAUUGAGAAUAUGUGCAUGUCUAUAACUCCACCCUUCACUGUGCUGCGGUUGUUCUCUGGACCACUCCUAUUUCAUCAGUGUUAUUGUCAACCUGAAGAACAAGCAGAAAGAGGCUCUCUGAAAUGAAAUGGAUGCUUAUUUGGGAAGAGAGCAUUGCAACGGGAAUACACAUGCCAUCGUAAAUGACAAGAAUAUUCAGGGAGGGCUGUCUCUCCCGAUCUGAAACCCCAAUUAUACCUGUGAAGGCAUGGCAUUCUGGAACACCCCAUUUCAAAAGGAGAAAUUAUAUUUGUAAAAAUUUUCAGAACCCCUACAGACCAUAACAAAGAGUAAUGUCUUGAAAACAGGCUGAGUUUAGUUGAUUUGUAAUCAAAGUUUAACCUCUUUUAGGACCCCAUCACAUUUGGCUGCCAUAUCUCCUUGGACUCCUCUUGGCUGUGACAGGGUCUCAGACGGCCCUUGCCGUUGAUGACCUUGAUGGUUUGAAGAGCCCUAAUCAGGGUACACACGCUGCUGACAUGACUCUUCACUGACAGUGGUGGCUGUAGUCGGCUGGCUGAGGUCUCCCCACUGUGAAGUCCCCCUCUCCAUGCUGUACUCUCUGGAAGGACGUCGCCAUGCACAGCCGACACUUAGGGGUAUGGGUUGUGCUCCACUUCCGAGGAGGAGAAGUAGCUACAUGAGUGACUGGGAAAUGUCCUGGGGGGGAUACUCAUCCAUGCCUCCACAUUACUUAUGUACUCAAUCUUUUAUUUAUAUUGCUAUGGACUCAUGGAUACUCAGCCCAUGCUCGGGCUGGACUCCAGUGUGACUUUGCUUCUUUUCCUGCUCAGCUUCUUCGAGGUUGGCCUUGGUGAGCUCCCGUGGUGGGUUCCCAGCUCCUGUGUGCCUCUGACAGGUGCUCAUCACUUGGCUUUUUGGGCAUCUCCUUAAUUUCUGCUACUAAAGAUGCUCCUGGCUUAUCUUCUGCAUGUCCUGCCUUUGCCCUUGAAUCAGUCAAUUCUCCAAGAAGCUCUGGCUCCUUUCCUAGAACAGUGUUAGAAACCAAGAUCUGGGCACUGGUGUGUUCAUUGCUAGUGAGGUGUUGUUGCUUCUAGACUCUCUCAGCUGAUAGAGCAAGGGAAUGUUUAAGCCAUUUAGAACAUAAAUGCAUUCAUUUAAAAACAUGGACUAUGUAUUCACUGUGCCUUGGGCCCCAAGCUGGGUGUUGAGGAUCUUGAGAAAAUAAAUCAAGGAAGCCCAUGGUCUAGGGUAGUGCUGGUGAGGAGAUAACAGACUCUUGAGAUGGCACUAGGGCCAUGGCGGAGACAGACCUGGACACUAGUGGGACCCAGCAAAGACCCACAGCAGCCUGGGGAGGCGGCUUCCAGAGUGCUGCGACUUUGGAACAUGAAUACUCCUGAGGGUUCACAAACGAGCCUGG
rnacentral:lncRNA from 1 species